GCCACCAGAUCGGCAAGCGUGACGGCUCAUCGUCAUCUUCCCUCCAUUAAAUCGGCAGAUCGACUCGGUGUCCGCAUCUCUCCACUUCUCCAACCAAUUGCCCGAUUCAUCGAUCUCUCAUCGUUCGUUCGCUCUAGCUAGGUUGAAGACUCGGGAGUCUAGCUAGCUGCUGUCGAGAGUGAUGGCGUCGUCUGUUCCCGAGGAUGGUGCUAGCGCUGCUGCUGCGGCCGCUCCUGCUGACCCUGCUGCUGCUGCGGCUGAGGCUCCCGGGCGACGCAUCGUGGUGGCCGUGGACGAGAGCGAGGAGAGCACGCACGCGCUCACCUGGUGCCUCGCCAACGUCGUCUCCUCCUCCGGCGGCGACACGCUCGUGCUGCUCCACGCCCGCCGCCCCCGCCCCGUCUACGCCGCCAUGGACAGCUCAGGGUACAUGAUGACCUCGGACGUGAUGGCGAGCAUGGACAAGUACGCCGCCGCCGUCUCCGCCGCGGCGGUGGGCAAGGCCAAGCACAUCUGCGCCGCUUUCCCUCACGUGACGGUGGAGACGAUGGUGGAGAGCGGGGACCCGCGCGACGUCAUCUGCGACGCCACCGAGAAGAUGGCCGCCGAUCUGCUGGUCAUGGGCACCCAUGGAUACGGCCUCAUCCAGAGGGCGUUCCUGGGAAGCGUGAGCAAUCACUGUGCGCAGAACUGCAAAUGCCCAGUGCUGAUUGUCAAGAGGCCAAAAUAAUAGUUGCUAAGUAAUAUACUUAGUACUGGUAAUAAAGCUCAACUAAUGCAGAGCUUGCUAGUUUGAUGUUUGUAAAUAUUGGCAUGUCAUGCUUGGUUUGUUGAUCGAGAACAAAAGCUAUAUGUUGUUUGGUGGCAUGGCAGCGUUCGAUGUUCAGCGACCGAUGCGGAUCUGCGGAUCUGUUGGCACCUUGUAAUGGUUGAAAUUUGCAGGCUAUUUGACUUUUUCUAUGCAUCUGAGUAAUUUUAAUUCA
rnacentral:lncRNA from 1 species